UGUCAUGACGUGAACAAGGCUGAGCAGCAUUCACUGGCCCAUCACAGUGCCUCCUUUGUCUUCCAGCUUCACCCCUGGAGGACAGAGCUAUUGCUACGAUCAGUGACCAUGGACUCAUAAGGCUUUUGUUUAAGAAUUGCCUAAGAUGUUCUUCAGAUCCUGAAUUCCAGCAGGAAAGCUAAUGCCAACCAGUUUGAAAACAACCACAGAGGAAUCGAAUCAGCACGAGAAUGCAGUUUCUUCAUUUCCCUGUCCCAUGACUUUACUCUGCACUCUUUGACCAAUCAAUAAUCCUGGACCUUGGCCCACUUCAAACCCCUUGAAAUCUCUAGCUCCAACUCCCUGGAGGGGUGGAUUUGAGGUUUCCUCCUGUUUCCUUGUUUGGCUGCCGUAUGAUUAUUAAACUCUUUCUUUGCUGCAAUCCCUGUUGCCUUGGUUUAUUGACUUACUGUGCAUCGGGCAAACAAACCUAUUAUGAUGACAUCAUGACGCAAUAUCCACCUCAAAGGACUGCUGGGAGCCUCAAAAAUUUACAAAUUUGUGAAUUGUAUGUGACUGUCUGAUGCCG
rnacentral:lncRNA from 10 species